CUCAAAGUGAAAGACAUGCUGAAAAAUAUGAAAUGCCGGUGGCCUUGAGCGGUGCUUUUCUAAAAACAGGACAAGGGUGUGUUAGACAGACCUAGCAACGUCUUUUCCAGUGGAGGACAGUCCAGGCAAAAACCUCACUGAAGAGUCAACAUCUUCAAGCAAUACAUAUGAAACAAAGCAGGAACUUCAAGGAACUGCAGCAGGAAGAGCAUGUGCAAAGGCCCUGAGAAGCCUGAAUUCUGACUGAGAGGAGAUGGUCCUGAGGCAUGAGUCAGUCAUCUUCUUGGUCUGCUGGCUUUCAGAAUAAAGUUCCUUGCCCCCGAC
rnacentral:lncRNA from 1 species